UACAUAGGGGGCAAGCGUUAUCCGGAAUUAUUGGGCGUAAGGCGUGCGUAGGUGGCCAUUUAAGUCUUUGGUGAAAGCCCUCGGCUCAACCCUGUAACGGUAAUCAAACUGGGUAACUUGGAUGCGUGAAAAGCAAGUGGAAUUCCCUGUGUAGCGGUAAAAUGCGUAAAAAUUUGGAGGAACCCCCGUGGCGAAAGGGGCUUGCUGGGACACAACUGACACUGAGGCACGAAAGCGGGGGGAGCAAACAGGAUUAGAUACCCUGGUAGUCCACGCCGUAAACGAUGAGUAGUAAGUGGACGAGAAAUUCUGUGCUGUAGUUAACGCAAUAAGUACUCCGCCUGAGUAGUACGUGCGCAAGCAUGAAACUCAAAGGAAUUGACGGGAAACCGCACAAGCGGUGGAUCAUGUUGUUUAAUUCGAUGAUACGCGAAGAACCUUACCAGGUCUCGACAUUCCCUGCAAAACUAUGGAGACAUAGUGGAGGUUAUCAGGGAGACAGGUGGCGCAUGGUUGUCGUCAGCUCGUGUCGUGAGAUGUUGGGUUAAGUCCCGCAACGAGCGCAACCCUUAUUGCUAGUUCCCAUCAUUAAGUUGGGGACUCUAGCGAGACUGCCAGUGAUAAACUGGAGGAAGGUGGGGAUGACGUCAAAUCAUCAUGCCCCUUAUGACCUGGGCUACAAACGUGAUACAAUGGCUGAAACAAAGGGCAGCGAAGCAGAGAUGUGGAGCGAAACCCAAAAAAGCAGUCUCAGUUCGGAUCGAAGUCUGCAACUCGACUUCAUGAAGUCGGAAUCGCUAGUAAUCGCGGAUCAGCACGCCGCGGUGAAUACGUUCUCGGGGUU
rnacentral:rRNA from 1 species